AACUGAUACUACCUGCGGGAACCUGCGGAGGGAUCAUUAUAGAGUUUUUAACUCCCAAACCCAUGUGAACUUACCUUUGUUGCCUCGGCGGAGCCUACCCGGUACCUACCCUGUAGCGCCCCGCCGGUGGACUUCUAAACUAUUGUUAUUUUAAUGAUAUCUGAGAGUCUUAUUUUAAUAAGUCAAAACUUUUAGCAAUGGAUCUCU
rnacentral:misc_RNA from 1 species